rnacentral:lncRNA from 1 species
AUGCCCCCGCGUCAGACGCCAGUCCAGGCUGCGAGUUCCCGGCGCCCACCAGCCGGGCCCGCCAGGAUCCCAGCGUCCGGACGCCGCAGAGCCCUCACCGCGGCCCGCAGCCCUCCGACUCGCCCCGACCCAUCCCUGGGACGCAGCCCGGGCUCCGCAACUCGACCAGUAGCCAGGCCGCGGCCCUGCGCCCCUUCCCGCCUCACCUGCGCUCCGCUGCGACUCCGUGCCUCCUCGCUCGCUCCGCGCGCGCCCCGUCGGGGCACGCACCGACCCCCCGGCUGGGACUCUCCCCGCUGCGGUGACUCAGGACGCGACGGCCACCGCCGCCUUCUCCUCCUCGGAACAAGCGCCGGCGGCGAGCAGAGAGGGUCGCGGUCAGAGCCCCUGCCGGGACCAAAGCGAACCUCGCCGCCUCCGCAGCCUCUACCACCAAGUCCCUUCAGUCGUCCGCGCCGCCCCCAAGAAAAUGUCACCAGAGGCCGUUCCGCUCGGCGCCUCACUUCCGCCCGGAAACACAGAGCCUGCGUCGGCCGGCUAGAGAGGCUGCUGCGCCGGGGACCUCUGGAGACUGGCGCCCGAGGCCCGAGAAAAGCCAGACAGCGCCAUCUGGCGCGAUGGAACCCGCGCUCCUCCCGCUGCAGACCGCGGGGCGUGAAGGCGCCAGCUCACCGGGCUUCUUUCCCGCGCUCCCUCCUUCUGUUGAGACCGUCUCCUUCCAGAAAUGCCUUUCCCGGGGUGUGUGAAAGCCACUCAAUGCAAGACAAGGACAAUGCCUUCAACAAAGGACAGCGCUCCCGUUUCUGUGCGCUGCUCAGUACUCACCCCCUCCUGAAGCCCUUCCGAAAGCAGCUCGCGGUGUCUGAAUCUUUGAGUCGCUCCAGCGGAGGGCCCGCGCCCUUCUCUCCCCGCUUUUUCGCGGAUGCGGACAGCUGGGCUCGCGGAGACUCAGCUGAGCUCGGGGAGACUAGGCUGAGGUUUUCUUGGGCAGCGGCACCAACAUCUGCUCAAGUUUCUGCCCGGGCACCUUGCAGGCCUUGCAGAUCGACCGCCACCUGCUGGUGGGACGGGGCCCGCAGGGGAGACUCCGCUCUGCCCCGAAUUCCGCCUCUGCAGUCGCCCUCCGAUUUGCAGUCAGCCCUUAGAAGGGUAGGGGAAAGGAGGUGGAUCGAACCCCGAGAAAGGGGAGGAGGGCGCGGGCCAACUGGCGGGUAG